rnacentral:tRNA from 1 species
CACUAAGAAGCUGAAAAGGGUUCACGUUAGCCUUUUAAGCUAAAAUAUGGUGAUUCCCAACCACCCCUAGUGA